rnacentral:snoRNA from 1 species
AAGGCUAUACUUUUAGGGAUCAUUUCUAUAGUUGGUGACUAGAGAAGUUUCUCUGAUUGUGUAGAUUAGCCAAGCCAUUUGUCCUCUCUGAACUUCUGUUCCUUUUCUUAUAAAAUGAUGGU